rnacentral:misc_RNA from 1 species
UUGUUCGAGAUCUUCACUCUUCUUAUGACCUCAGUGGUCAAUACCUAUAAAUCUUCUCCUCCCAUGAUACUUCAAAUUUUUUAAUCUCUUUUGUGUCAUUACUAAGGUACUUAGACCAACCUUUGUCCAUCUUAUGUAACUAGUCAGGUAGAGUCUCCUCCAAGGGCUAAGUGUAUCAUUUAUCAAUAUUGGAAAGUAAACUGGGUCUCUCCUUCUAGGUAACAAAAGUGUUUAUAUUCUCUGACAACUCAACCCAUGCGACUUAUCAAUUCUCACUCCUUCUCUGGAAU